GCAGCGCCGGCAGCCGCUUCUUAGAGGGACCAGCGACACUUUCGCAAGCCGCACGAGAAAGAGCAAUAACAGGUCUGUGAUGCCCUUAGAUGUACGGGGCUGCACGCGUGCUACACUGACGGCGUCAGCGUGCGUUCAAGCCCGGCCUGGCAAGGUCGGGAAAUCGGUUGAAACGUUCUCGUGACUGGGACAG
rnacentral:rRNA from 1 species